CGGAAAAGUAAUUACUCCACAUCGCAGCCUUCAUAUAUACAUAUGUAAAACAUGUAUAUAAUCAAGCGCCACAAUUAAGCACUCCCCUAGACCGACGGUUGUUCGGUCAUACUCUCACAUCUCACCUUACCUUGAGCGUCGAUCCAUUCAGAACUGAAUGGCCUCAAAAAUAACAAUACACAUGUAUGCAAUACCCACCCGGUUGUGGGUUAGUGGUUUUGAACUAAGCCACCUGAUAGUCCUUAACUUAGGGCUUAAUAGAGGAUGUCGCUAGCAUUAUAGUUUUUUCAAAACUAUUUUUUUUCAAAACCAAACAAUGUGUUUAGUUGAAAAUAGGUUUUCUAAAACCAAAACUUUUGUUUUGAAAAUACGUAUGUGACCGUAUAUACUUAAUCCUGCUCCGAUACCAGCUGUGGCAGAAUCUCCCAAGUUAUUGGGCCCACAUGCACCUGUCCUUGUCUCAAAGACCUCAGACGGCUAUGCAUGUGCACCAAAUAACUUAACAGGAUCCGUCCGAUUGCCCCAAGGACACCGGAUAAACCACUUACAACCAGAACCGCGGGAUUAAGUAACACAAAUCACACACCAAUAUUUUUGCAGCGGAAAUAUUGUUACCAAAUUUUACAAGUUACAAAAAUUUUAUAUUAUUUUAUCGGAGUGAUUGCAAAAGUAUAAGUUUGAAAUACAUGCUAGCUCAAGGGACCAUCCUCAUUAAGAAGUAUAGAAGGGUUACUUAGACUUAUAAGAAGGCCGAGCCCACCGGCACUUAUCACCAUCAUCAGCAACACAAAACUAUGACCUGAAAAACAACAGGGAAUAAAACCCUGAGUAUGGAAUUACUCAGCAAGUCUUACCCGACUAAAGAAAAGACUCUCAAGGGUAUGCUGGAUUUGGGAAUCAAGGAGAGGCUUUAGCAAGAAUCAACUUAGAUACUUUUGCAGAAAAAAGCUUACUAAAGUGAGUCCUUACUUUCAAUAUUUUAAUGCUAGAUUAAAUAUUAAUAGACUCUGUUUGCAUCUGGUCUAAUUUCACCAUCUUAUCAAUGCAACAUCAUUUUUAUUCAUGAGGUUCACAUCCUGACUUAGGUUGCAGGUCAGUGAUCAAGUCUCCACUCUCCGGGGAUAUAACGGCGAUCCGAAUCGAUUUACUCAGCUGAGGAUCUCUAACCACACGACAUAUGUAGCACUUAACCCUUGCAUAUGUCAACCGUUCCCACAGAUCCUCCACAACGUGAACCGGUCCGCGCUACCCGGGAGCACAGUACUCCUCCAUCCAGCCUCUAGCCAGGAGGGCACACGCUACUCCCACCAUCUCCCACGCCCAGUGCGCGGUUGUCUUUUCACGUAUGGAAUAGCCGGGUUCAAGCUUACCCUGUCCCAUUUCCAGGGCAUGUGGCCAGUUAAGAUAGUCCUUGAUCUAUCAGGCCUACAUAUGCAUCCAAUCCUUAAUUGACCUGGACGGAACAUCACCUGUUCCUAGCCCAAGUCCCGAUUUAAGUACUUCCACCCUUAGGAUUGUUUCGUGUUCCUAUGGAUGAAAAGAGCAUUAUAGGGAACUUUGCAGUAAGAUCCCACCAUGCUCCCAAGGAAAAUAUUCUUGCAGGUAGAAGCCACCCUUCCUCAGGAUAACCCUGAGCUAGGCAUAAGUGCAAAGGACAAACUCCACCUGCCUAUAAGCAGGGCUAAGCAUUUUGUUGUAAAUCAUAUUUUGAUACUUCACUAGAAGUAUCUAUAAAGGUAUGGAUAUCAAGGAAGGCAAUGCAUCAAAGGGUUCCAAGCAACUCCUAUAAACCUAAUGCACAUUUCACUAGACUUAAAGUGUGCAAAAAUUAUUUAAAAACACAAGGAAGGGGUUGCAUGCACCGGGGCUUGCCUGGAGUAACACUAGGUUAGUGUUGUUAGGUGGCGACCACUUGGUGACCAUCUCUUGUUCUGAUCUUGUUUCGUCUAUCCAUCUUCAGGGUAGUUCAUUAGCUUCAUCCUGUGGAUUAACCCGCGUUUGGGGUCGACUUGGGUCGUCUUCCGCAUCACACGAUUAUUUAUCGUCCUGAAUGAAGUGCAUUAUGCAUAUGAAUGCAUAUAAAGAAUAAUAACACUAGAUAUUACAAUGCUACACAAAAGAGAAAUAACCUAUUUAAUGACGAGACAUUACGGACACUAGUAUCGAUAUAUUGUUACUUACGACGAUCAUGCUCUUACAACUUAGCUAAAUAGUCGAGGUCACAAUCACCAUCCAUUCCAAUUAUAAAAGCC
rnacentral:lncRNA from 1 species